CAGCAGCCACGGUAAUACGAGGGGGGCAAGCGUUGUUCGGAAUUAUUGGGCGUAAAGGGCGCGUAGGCGGUUUGACAAGUCUUGUGUGAAAUCUCUGGGCUCAACCCAGAGUCUGCACGGGAAACUGUCGGGCUAGAGUAUUGGAGAGGUGAGUGGAAUUCACGGUGUAGCAGUGAAAUGCGUAGAUAUCGUGAGGAAGACCAGCGGCGAAGGCGGCUCACUGGACAAUUACUGACGCUGAUGCUCGAAGGCCAGGGGAACAAACGGGAUUAGAUACCCGAGUAGUCCCUGUCUCUUAUAC
rnacentral:rRNA from 1 species